rnacentral:rRNA from 1 species
AGUGAACGCUGGCGGUAGGCCUAACACAUGCAAGUCGAACGGCAACACAGUAAGAGCUUGCUCGUACGGGUGGCGAGUUUCGGACGGGUGGGGAAUACAUUGACAUCUACUUUAUCGUGGGGGAUAACGGAGGUAAACGUACGCUAAUACCGCAUACGACCUACGGGUGAAAGCAAGCGAUCUUCGGACCUUUCACAACUCAAUGAGCCUACGUUGGAUUGGCUAGUUGGCGGCGCAAAGGCCCGCCAAGGCUACGAGCCGUAGCUGGUCUAAAAGGCGGAGAAGCCACACUGGAACUGAGACACGGUCCACACUCCUACGGGAGGCAGCAGUGGGGAAUACUGGACAAAGGGCGCAAGCGUGAUCCAGCCAUACCGCGUGGGUGAAGAAGGCCUUCGGGUUGUAAAGCCCAUUUGUUGGGAAAGAAAAGCAGCAGGUUAAUACCCCGCUGUUCUGACGGUACCCAAAGAAUAAGCACCGGCUAACUUCGUG